AGCCGCUUGCGAAAAUCGAUUUUCACUGGCGGUCGGCUUAACCCAGCCGCUUGUGAAAAUCGAUUUUCGCAAGUGGUG
rnacentral:pre_miRNA from 11 species